rnacentral:lncRNA from 1 species
CCACAAUCAAGCCUCUUGCCCACAUUUUCCUUCUCUUCCUGCUUGACCCUGUUGCUUCUCUGCUUGGUCCUGCAUGGUGUGCUCCUUCUCUGAGGAUCUAGAUGGAGCCUUGUUAUGUUGCCCAGGCUGGUCUUGAACGGCUGAUCUUAGGAGAUCCUCCUGCACUGGCCUCCCAAAGCAGUGGGAUUACAGGCGUGAACCACUGUACCUCGUCAUAAAACAGAUUUUAAACAAUGGAGGAAAUUAAACAGAUGCACACACGAGUGGAAGCAGAAUGAGUUCUCCAUUACAAAGAAAAGCGUGUUUUGGCUGGAAAUUAAAAAUGCAAAUGAAAACAAGCUUUAAGGUUUCAUUACAAACCCACUUAACUGGGAAAGGAAAUUAAAUUGGUAAUAUUCGAUGGCCUGGGUGGGGAAUCCAUGAACAUAUGCAUACUUGGCAGGUUUAUAAAUGGGUUCCAUGUUUUUGAAACUCAGAAUGGCUCUUUGAAUAAUGAGUUGAAAAGCUG